GUCGCCACCCUCACGUUCGGCGCCCUGCGAUUGGCUAGGGUCUCCGGGAAGGCGGGGCUGGCCGCCAGGCACGUGCAGCUGAGGUGAUCCUUGAAUGGCAGGCUAACUGCAACAUCUUGGAAAGAAAAACAAGCACCACUUGCACAGGAUGUUCCUCUGAAUCCAGGAAAAGGACAAGCAACAUUCUCCCAACCCCAUUAUUGAGGGGGCUGUGGAGAUCAAAGCUGUUGUCACAAAGAGAAUGGGAAUGGGCUGACAGACAAAAAGUGUUCAAUCGUGUGGGAAGUUUUAGGAUGAAACUCAGCUUGUAUGGAAGACUGGUGGGUCUGCAUAGGAGAAAACAUAUAGAGAGGAACCUCCAAACUUCAGAGAGCUGUUCUUUUAACUGUGCUGACCUUCCAUCAGGUGUCAGACUGAUACUCUCAGGCUUGCUUUCCUCAUUUUCUUCUUCACCUUGGGAGAAGAGACAUCUUGGUACAGUAUGUCUCUCCUGCUGAGAACAAAGAGCAGGCAUGGUUCUUUGUAUCUCCAUCUUAGUUAGAUAGAAGAAAGGAUAUUUCCUAUCAGGUAUGUUUUCCCUUUAAUAAAAUUAGCUUUCUUAAUUUCCUAAA